UGACACAUCUGAGGACCACCCUGUGCUCUCCGGGGUCCCGAAAACGUCUUUGACAAGUGAUUUGAGAGCAAUGGAUGCAUGUUGGUGAGGAAGUGGCCCCCAGUCCUGCCUUAUCUUUCCACGGAUGUGCAGACGGCACCCCCAACAGCAAACGGAGCCCGCCAAGUGAUGGAGCCGCUGGAUCUGACAGGGCAAUCCAGAGCGUGUUGUUGGAAUCCCUACAAAUAAACAUUAAAAUUUGUAUCUUA